rnacentral:snoRNA from 1 species
AACAAUGUCUUUAUAUAAAAUAGACGCCCAGAGUCACACCUCUCCCCAAAAACGUGGGAUCAGGCGUGCUCGCGGUAGAUCUUAGAAUAACGCAGGUAAUUAAUUUUACUCUUGAGUACCCUCCGUCUAGUAUGUAACACCUUUCAGGUUCAUAC